rnacentral:sRNA from 1 species
UUCUUCAUAUUGUAAAUACAAAUAAAAUGUAGGUUUUUAUUUAGGGA